GGAAGGUAUGCAUGGCAAACAGUGAGCUACUUUGGGGAUAAUUCCCAACUAAGUGUAAUUACUGAUUUUAAAGUCUCUUCAAUUCAUGGAAAUAGAAAGCACAGUCCCUGUGUCAUGGGUCAGACUCACUAGACACACAGCUAAACCACAUUUCCCAUCCUUCCUUGUAGCUAGAUGUGGCUCUAGGACUGAGUUUCUAGCAUACAGAGUAUAAGCAGAAGUUAUGUACAUCACUUCCAGGCCUGGACCAUGGGGAUCCUUCUGGCUUUCUGGAAGAAAGACAACCCGUGGAUGCUUUGUGCUGAAGAAGGUAGAGUCUCCAUCCAUCUAAGUUACCUAAUGGAAAUGAGUCUCUCUACUUAGACCUAUUUGACAUCGCAUACUAUCACUGGAACAAGAAAGAAGUUUCUACUUUAUACAUUUGGAAAGUUAUGUCCCUUCAAAUUAUAGAAUCUAAAAGCAAUUCCUAAAAAAAAAUAAAAAUAGAGGGUAUGUUGAAAAUAUUUUGAGUCAUGCCACUAUCACUGAAGUUCUUAGGAGUAGUUAUGAGUAAAAGCUUUGCAAUCAGGCCUGAAGUAGAGCCGAUAUAAUAUGUGGCAUUGGGAUAGUAAUAGGAUUUCAUAGUAUUGUUCUUUAUGUGUUACCUGUCACAUAAUAAGUGCUCAAGAAAAGUUAGCUUUCAUCAUCAAGUGUAUAUUCUCCCAGGAUACACAAAAUUAAAAAAUUAAAACUGAAUUAGUCAUGAAGUACUUCUGAUAUUCCUUCCAGGAAAAAGGUAGGAUCACACUUCCCUGACCAUUCUUGGGAAGAGCUUACCCCUGUGAUUUAUUUUAACUAAUAAAAUGUGGGUAAAAAUGGCAUGUCACUCUGAAGUGAAAGUAUUUGAAUCAGCAUGGAUUUCAAAUGCUAUUUUUUUUCUCUGUCAUGGCAGCAGCAGUAACUGGAAAUAGCAAGUGACUGUUCUGCCAGCUUAGGUCCUCAAAUUAGUAAAAUACUAGUCAGCACAUGAUAUUUAUGUGCCAUGCCCAAGAAAUGAUUUCUUGUUGUUUUAAGCAACUAGAAAUUGAGGGUAAUUUGUUAUUAGCCUCUCCUGACCUAUAUAGGAAAAAAUAUUCAUAUGAGUUAGUCUAAAAGAUAGUUUCACUAUUUUGCAACAAACUCUAAUAAUAAUAGCUAUUACUGAGUGAUCACCAGAUUCCAAGAACAGACAUAUACUUUACAUGCGUUAACCAUUUUUCACAAUAAUUCAAUAAGACUACCUACAGUAUUCUUAUUCCCACUUCACAGGGACAGAGAGGUUAAAUACCUUGCCAAGGUUACAUAGCCAGAAUUUAGAAAACAACAAGUUUAAAUCAGCCCAUCUGACUCUGGAGGCUGUGCUAUUAACCCUCAUUACAUUACCUCUUGUAGGAUGCUGUAAGUGCACCUCCCAGUUCCCUACUUCAGGACCGGGAUUCUCUUUUUUUUUUUUUUCUUUUUUCUUUUGAUCAACUGCCAAAAGCUUGGGCAGCCAGUGGUAUUUGACCUUGGUCCCUCCUUGGGAAUUGCCCUUGGGCAAAGAGAGCUGUUUCAGCCCAGGUCAGGCUCCCUCCCUGAGGGACUGGUGAGGAUUCUGUUGGGUCUACAUCAUGGUUCAACUUCUUCCUGUUUUCCUUGCAUUUCCUCACAAAAGUAUUCCCCAAUAAACUUUCUUCUUCAUGUAAAUCUCAUAGCCUCUGAAUAUGUUUCUCAAGGACCCACAAUGACAGUACCUCUCCACUGAAACACACAGACUAUGUGUUAACUCAGUGCAUGAUUAAUUGUCAUAGAGCCUGUCAGUUCAGAGAAAGUGAAGAUAACUUGGCUGUCCAGAGAAGGUUUGGAAUGAUGAAAUCUCUCACAAGUUAAUGGAGAUAUAGAGUCUUACUAUCUCAGGUGAAUUCAGUGCACUUCAUUUCUCAUAAAUGUCAUCUCUAGUUGUGUAAAUCCAAACAAAAAAAAUGUCAAAGAAGGAAUUCUCUAUUUUGUAUAUAAUAAAUGAUAGUUGGUCUUUAUAUGUGAACUUAUUCAUACUUAUAAGUAAAAAUGGGGAGUUUUCCAUCAAGAUGGUUGUCUCAAGAGAUGAGAAGACAUGUAUCUUUAUUAUACCAAAUAUUAUAUAACUCUAUUUUUAGUUUUACAUAAAAAUGUAUUGAAAUCUUAUGUCUAAAGUUGAUUUCUGAGAUAUGAUGAAUACAAGCCAAAAUUUAAUUCAUAGCCCAUCAGCUCUUUCUUAGACAUCUUAGCUUAUUUAACACUAAACUCUAAUCAUAUUUAAGUUGGUCCGCAUUAGUUUUAUGUAUUUCCUUUAGCAUCAUUAUGUAUUUCUCAUAAUUCAAACUCUAUCCCAAUAUCAGUUGCCUACAUUUACUCAAAGGAGAAAUAUAUAUUUUAAAACUUGAAAUAAAUAAGUAGAAUCAUAGAGGCAGUGACAAAACAAACAAAUUAUAAAACCAAAAGAGUGAAUGGAUCUAUGGAAUUUAAAAUAAAUAUUAUCACAGACUUUACCUUGAUAUGCACAUAAUUCACACUUUGUAUUUUCUACUUACAUAUCUUCACCAUAUAUUGAUGUAGAUUAAUGAUCCAUGUUAUAGAGAGUUCAGGAAAAAUUAGAUUAUUAUAUUUUUUUCUUUAUGGUAUUUAUUUUUAUUCUCUCCCUAACCAAAGAAGCUUGAAUUCAGCAAUAAGAACUUGAACCCAGCAAUGAGAAGUUAAAAUUGAGUAGCUUGUGCUGUUCAUAGAAUUUUUAAAAGCUUAAAUCAGCAUGCAGCUUGCAUUUAUAAAACAGGUAGCAAGGCCCUUCAUUACCAUCAUUUUCAAAAUGUAAAUAAGAAUGAUAUUCCUUAUUGGCCGCUUUAAUCUCAUUGAAUGUACAUUAAGUUAUGUCAAUGCUUCAGUGGGGACAUAUUUUUGCAUUCAUAUUAUGAACCACUGAACAAUUGCUUUAUUUUCACAGAAUUACACAUAAGAAUAGAAAACGCAUACAUUAUAAAUUAGAACAGUACUUCAGAGAAACCCCUUGAAGUAACCAAGGACAGAACAGCCAAAAGAAUGGAAAUGUUAAGUGACAGGACAUUUUCAGAGAAAGACAAUCUUUAGAAAAAAAUUGCAAGUGACUCAGACAAAUCAAACUAAUCAAAGACCUCCAUAAUAGUGGUUCUUAUGAGGUUAGUAAAAGAAAAGAAUUAUCUAAAAUUCACAUAUCAAGUCUUGGCAGGUGAGUAGUUGCUUUUUUCUGCAGUUUAAGAAUGUUUGAAAACAAUUUGUUUACUGAAAAAAAUUUAAAAUUUCUCCCAACAGCAAUUUCAUUUUACAUAUUAACUUAGACUUAUUAAAGCAACAGCUGGCACUAGCUGUGCUCUGAGGUUUAUAAACUCACAUCUCAGAAGUGAUUCAUGCCCCUCCCUGGAGCUAUUCUUCCAUUCAGCCAGGCAACAUCUUGUCACCUUUGUGAUAUCAAGUACUAGAUUUCUAUCUCAUGUGGAUUUUCUGAAGGACAUAUAUUAUGAUAUUUUAUACAGUAGUGCUCCUUCUAUCAAAAUCUCAUCAUAGAAAUAUCUAAGCAUGAAUAUAAACAUAUUUAAUUUAAAAUGAACUCUUCCACAUCAUGUACAACCACAACAAUGGGAAGUUGUACUCCAUGUAUGUAUAUUAUGUCAAAAUGCACUCUGUCAUGUAUAUCUAAAACAAAUGAAAUACAAAGGAAUGAGAAUGAAAAAAAAUGAACUUUUAAAAUGUCAUUUUGUCUAAAUAUGAUAACUUUUGUUUUCCUCAUUACAUUUUAUCUUAGGAAUAACUAUUUGAUCCAAUUCUGACAUUGCCCAGGACACAAGAAUUCAAAUGCACUGUGAACUCCUAAGUCAGAGUGAGAACAUACAAAAAUUUGCCCAUGACACAUUCACUAACACAAACCCUGAGAUAGAAUCAGCUUUAGAAAGAAUAAUAAUCAUUACUCUAAAAAGCAUUUUUUUGUCGGGAUAUACUAAACCGAAAAGUGGUUUCUGCUUUCAAAACAGUUUUUUCUAAUUAUAAUUAUUAAGUAUUAAUUUCAUUAUUUUUCAAAUGAUUACAAAUUCUCAAUUUGAAGAGGGAAAAUAUUAGAUAUUUUAGUAGAUAUUUUAGAGAACAAAGCAGUAAUCACAUAGGUCUAUCUCACGUCCCAUAAUCUCUUUCUCUGCAGGACUAUUAAAGAGGAAGAUAUGGCAAUUGGUGCAGAACACAGGCUCUGGAGCCAGACUGCCUGAGUUCAUGUCUUGACCUAACCACUUUCCAGCUAAGUGAACUUGGCUUCUUUACCUGGCUCCCUGUGUCUUAGCUUCCUCCUCUAAUAAAUGGAAACAUCCAUAACUACCUACAUUAUAGGAUUGUUGUAAAGAUUACAUGUAUUUAUACAGAUGAAGCAAUUAAAAUAGUGCCUAGCACAGGGGAAACACUCCAAAAGCAUUAGCUACCUUGUUUUGUCUCUUCAUUUUUCAUGCUGAAGUUGACUUACAAAUUCCCCAAAUUUAAUGUCCUAGUUUAGACACUCAAGUAAGCUAUUAUGUGUGCAUGAUGUUUUUUUUUUUUUAUUAAGUUUUCUUACCAUUGAAAAAUGUGUAUAUAACACCUGGACAUUGAAAAAAAAAACAGGUGGCUUUUUAAAUAGCUUGGUAUUGUAGAGAAUUGUGACCCACUUACUUUUGGCCUGUUGAAUAGCCCAGCCUUUCAUACCCUAAGCUUAGAACAUAAGAAACGUCCCGCUGAGUUGUACCCUGCCUUCUGCAGCGCAACAUUGUAUCUUUGGCAAGAGAACUAGAAGAAAGCUCUAGAGAUAAUAUGGCUGCUCACCAUGUAUCCAAUCGAAGGCGUUGGGCUGGUAUACAGCAACCUAUGUACCUUCCCUCAGACCCACCACCGAUCAGUCAUUAUCUUCCCCAAUCCAUCUUAAAUCAUGUUACAUUUUAAGUCUAUUCCAACUUAUGAAGACAACAAGCUAAAUAGAUAUAUUACUUUCUUUUUCAUAUUUAUCCUUCAAACUACACUUUUAAUCUUCACUAAGUGUCUUUUUGUUCUGGAAUUCCAAAAUAAGGAAAUUAGUAUUAAAAUAAGAAAAAAGAAUCAUAUAAAUAAGACAUUCCAAACAUUUGUAAUAUUACUUUAAUAUUUCAGAUAUUUACUUCCUAAAGAACUUUAUUAAUCAGAUAAAUCCUGUAGGAAUAUUUGCUCCUGGGAGACUGAUUGCUCUCAUGAUUCUCAUUUGCAUCAAUGAACUUCUUUUCACCUGGCCAAUCAAUAUGGUAAGACACUCAGAGUUCAUUAUCAUAGAAGCAAUGGAUUUUAUCUGAGCACAGUUUCUCAUUUAAAAUAAUAGAUAUAAAUUCCUUAUUUGUAUACAAAUUUAUACUAAUUAGCUUUGUUUCUAAACUUAGAGGUAUUACAUAGAUAAGUUUAUCAAAUGGCUUGUAUUCUUUGAGAUGUGUGAUACUUGGAUUUAUACAAUGUAAAUCUGUAAAAAUUAAUUUCAUUCAAUAUAAUUUCAAGUAUUCCUUUAAGUAAAUAAUGUUGCAUGACAAUAAGUUUUCUAAAUUAAUAUCCAUAGUUGCACUCUUCAUUAGUAAUGGGCUAAUAGUUACUACUAUGUUUCCCUUCAACUUAAAAGUAUGCUUUUAAAAUAUUUUUAUUUUUUCAUAUUGUAAAAAAUAAGCAGCAUGUCUUCUACUUUUUUCUUUAAAUACACUAAUCAGGUAAAUAAGCUUUAAUAAAUGCUGUUUAUAAAGAGCAUUGUUACUCCCUGAAAGCUUUUUUAAUAUUAUCCUAAAGAUAUUGUGACAAAACUUAAUUUGCAUGUAUCAUAUAACCUAGUAAUAUAUAUAUAUAUAUAUAUAUAUAUAUAUAUAUAUAUAUAUAUAUAUAUAUAUAUAACCCAGUAAUAUAUAGUAAUAAUAUUCUAUCCUUUGAAAUUUAACCAAGAGAAAUGAAAAUGUGUCCACAUAAAGACUGUUGGUGAUAUGUGCCAUGUUUAUGGCAGCAUUAUUUUUAUUAAACAAAAAGUUGGAAGAAUCCAAAUGUUCAUCAAUUUAUAAUGGCUAAAUAAAAUGUAAUGCAUCCAUAUGAUGGUGCAUUAUUCAUCAAUAAAAAGGAAUAAAGCACUGACUUGUGCUACAAACAUGAACUUAGAAAAUAUUAGGCUGAUUGAAAAAUAGUCAUACACAAAAGACUACAUACUCUGUGUUUCCAUAUACAGGAAAUGUCCAGAAAAGGCAAAUCUAUAAGACAGCAAGUAAACUAGUGAAUGGUUGUCUAGAGCAGGGGUGAGAAUGAGGAGGUAUGACAAGAAGGCACAUGGGAUGUUGGAAAUAUCCUAAUGCUGAAUUGCAGUGAUGGUUGCUUCAGUCUAUAAAUUUAUUUUUAAAACUAUUAAAUUAUGCACUCAAAAUGAGAAAAUAUAUAGUAUGUAAAUUAUAUACCAAUAAAGCUACUUGAUAAAAUAGGCAAUAUCUAAUACUUGAAAAUAUAAAAGGGGACAGCUGACCUUAUUUCCACUUACAUAUGCACAGAGAGUCCUCAGCACUGUCCCCCAGGGCAGUUCAUUGGUUGUCUUGAGUCACACACUUGGUUGAGUACAAUGAAAUGCACAUGGGCAUCACCACCACAAUGUGCCAGUACUGUUCUAUAUCCUAAUGUCAUAAGAUUGAGUUAUAGCAGUCCCAUCUCAAGAAAUAGCCCCAUCAUUUUCUUUUACCUUUGAAAUAUCAAACUGCCCCAGAAACGUACAUGCAAACCUCUUAAUGUAGCAUAUAAAUAACCAUAUAAGUUUGACACCUAUACAAAAAAAUCCAGAAAAAAACUUACCAGCACAACCUUAUACACAACCUGUCGCAUCACACAUCAAUAGUAUGAGUACCACACCAUACUGGUAUUCCAGUGGCUGGUCUUUUUUCCCUCCUUUCCUUCCUUCUUUUCCUAUAAAUAUUUACUGAACGCCUACAUGUUUCAAACAUUUCUAGGUAUGUGACAAAAUUAUUUGCAGUCAUGGAACUUGCAGUGUAGUACAUUUUAUGCAUUAAUUAUCUACUGCCAGGCAACAAGAUUAACCCAAACUUAGUACCUUAAAAAAUAUACAUUUAUCAAUUCACAAUGUCUGUGGGUCAGGAUUCUGAACACUGCUUAGCUAGGUCUUCUGUAAGGCUGCAAAUAAGGUGUCAACAAGGGCGUACUCUCAUCUGAGGUUCAAGUGGAGAAAGACCUUCAUUCUCCACAAGGGAAAUGAGGUUGAAAAAAUAUGCUAUGUUCAUGUGUGAAUAUAUUGCAAUGCAUUCCAAUUUUAUAUAGAAACUAAAAAGUAAACAAAUAUAAGAAAGACCAAAGGAGUAGAGGAAGGGGAUCAGGAGAAGGGAGGUGGGGAGGGAAAGGGGAAAUACUGGGAAUUAAAUUGGAGAAAACUAUGUUAUAUGAAAUUAUGAAUAUGUCAAAAUGAACUCCACUAUUGUGUAUAACUAUAAUGCACUAAAAUUUUUUCUAAUAGGAAAACAUCUAUUUGUCACUCAUUUUUGGAAGUAUUUAGUGUUUGAUUCCUUGCAAGUGCCGGACGGAGGGCUUCAGUUUCCAGUCAACUGUUUGCCAGAGGCUGUCCUCAAUUUCUUGCAUGUGGCCCUUUUCAUGGACACCUUACCACAUGUCAGGUUGCGUUUUCAAAGCCAGCAGAGGAGACUCUUCUCACAAG
rnacentral:lncRNA from 1 species